CCUGCAGCUCCUGCUCAAGUUGGCUUUAGGAUUCAAAUAAGAAAGUCUACCUUUGCCAGAAAGCAGGGACGAUGCAUCCUUCUUCAAGGCCAGCCCCAAGCAGACUCUUUAGACCUGAGGUCAAACUGUAAAAUGAACAAUUAUCUUUCCUGCUAGACAGGCUCCCCCUGAAGUCCUGCCCUACCCUAAUCUCUGAGCAUCUCACCUGCCCUGGACACACUGCUUUGGUAGAAGGAGCACCUCAUUGUUAUCAACACCCACCAGACAGCACUGCAAUCUAGUUUUCCAUUCAUUUCAGCCUACUCUCCAUAUCUGUCCCAUUGAGGUAGACUUAUUUCUGUUCUAAUGAAAUUGAUUCAGAA
rnacentral:lncRNA from 1 species